AUUGAACGCUGGCGGCAUGCCUAACACAUGCAAGUCGAACGGCAGCACAGCAGAGCUUGCUCUGUGGGUGGCGAGUGGCGGACGGGUGAGUAAUGCAUCGGGACCUACCUGAACGUGGGGGAUAACGUAGGGAAACUUACGCUAAUACCGCAUACGUCCUACGGGAGAAAGCGGGGGACCUUCGGGCCUCGCGCGGUCAGACGGACCGAUGUUCGAUUAGCUAGUUGGUGGGGUAAAGGCCUACCAAGGCGACGAUCGGUAGCUGGUCUGAGAGGACGACCAGCCACACUGGGACUGAGACACGGCCCAGACUCCUACGGGAGGCAGCAGUGGGGAAUAUUGGACAAUGGGGGAAACCCUGAUCCAGCAAUGCCGCGUGUGUGAAGAAGGCCUGCGGGUUGUAAAGCACUUUCGGCAGGAAAGAAAAGCCAUGCGCUAAUACCGCAUGACCUUGACGUUACCUGCAAAAGAAGCCCCGGCUAACUUCGUG
rnacentral:rRNA from 1 species